rnacentral:tRNA from 1 species
GCGAGAGUGCUGGAAUAGGUAGACAGGCACGUUUGAGGGGCGUGUGUCGAUAGGCGUGUGGGUUCAAGUCCCAUCUCUCGCACCA